AUUUACAAACAUAGUUUACGUGCCUUCGCUCAAAAUAAUUCGACCUCAUACAAAAGAUUAUGUAAUAACUACUACUUCUACUAAUAGCUACUAAUAAGGUCGACCCCUUCCCUUCUCAAUUCACUUCAAUGAUUCCUUGCACACCUUCACGUUCACUGCAAUAUGUAAAUCUUCUUCUGCAGAGAUACAAACUUGAGAUUGAAACAUCUGUGAUAUUUGUUCAAAUGUUUCGUUCGUCGCAAAGUUAACCGAGGAAGCACUAGCUCUAGAUGAUUGGCCGCUUGAAUCUUCUUUGACAACCCACAAUUUCCAAAAUCCAAGGCGUAUUGACUCCAGUAGCUUCAAUAGUGCAUUUGUACAAAUUCUAUACAUAUGUUUGUCUGUUUAUGCAUCCAGAAAUGUAUGAAAUUAUACAAGAGAAACACAAAUACAAAUACAAAUACAAAAGUAGAUAGGAAUUUAACAAAAUUAUGCAUACAUGAGAAACACAAAUACAAAAAAUAACCAAAUAGACUGCCUCAUUACUAAACUGUUUUGAUGCACAAUUUUAGUCGCAUAUAGAAAAAUUAUACCUUGUUGCUAAAGCCCUAAAAACCUAUUUUAUUUGGGUACUUCACAAGACUUAAAACCCCAAAUUUUCACCUAUUUUUCGGAAAAUAAAUCAAAUAAAAAAAAAUUAACCAACAUCCAUAAACAAACAUGUUUGGAUGCAUAGAUACAUAACUACAAGUGUAUAGAGAGAUAAUUACAUUAACAUCGCCAAAAAAAAAAAAAAAAAAAGGAGAAGAAGAAGAAGAAGAAGCUUACAUCAUAAAAGAAAGAGGAUUAUCAGAAUUUGGUAACAGUAUCAAGAAAAUUAAAUUUUUUUUUUAAAUCAAGAAAGUUACAAAUGAAAAAUGAAAUAAAUCAAACGCAGCCCACGGAGCAGUAGUCUAAUUGGUUGCUCUCUCUCUUUCUCUAGCUUGGUUUUGGUGAGCCCACAAGAGCAAGAACAGAGGCAACCAAAAUAUUGUUCGAAGUUCGAAUCGAUCGCUCGUUCACAAUAAUGAAGCAAAAAUCCAAACUCGUGUGCAAAGAAAUUUGACCGCUAGCCAUUUAAAUGUGGUCUUCAACAUCUAAUAUAUCAAAGAUAAAAAUAACAGAGAUCCAGUAAAAUCUUCAAUUCAAUGGAAAAUAAAGAAAAAAUCACCGGUAUAUGCAUUUAUACACUUACUAGGCGGGACUAAGAUGAUGUCGAUGGAGAUUUGUGGACUUCGUAAAGAUGAGCACCGAGUGCGUUUGAGCUCGCUUGCGGCCGGAGAACUUCAAGCAUGUGCCAAUCGGAGGUUGCUUUCUCCCUUCUUGGAUUGGAAAUGGAUGGAGAUGAAAGUUAAAAAAAAUUGGGGAAAAUGAGAGGAAAUUUUCUCCCUUUCGUUGAAAUUUCAAUUGAGCCGGCCGGAGGAAAUUUUCACCCUUUCGUUUCUGUAGUUUGGUGAAGUGGGUGGAGAGAGAGAGAGAGAGAGAGAGAGAGCGCUUUGUUUUAUGAAUUAAUCAAUUUCCCUCCAUUUUGCAUUUGGUGGCUUUAUUCACUUUUUAAUGAAUUAAAUAAUUUACAGUGACCAUUUUUUAAAUCCCUGUAUCCAGUCUGUCG
rnacentral:lncRNA from 1 species